GGAGACUCAGAAUCCAGAAUCAGUCCACGAGGCUGGAUGUCUCAUAACCACAGUGUGAUGCUGAAGGUCUGGAGGAUGCAGCCCACGUUGGAAGCCGGAGGAAGCCUGAUCUAAUCACGGAAGGAAUGUAGCAAUAGCAGCAUCAAGAGAUGAUGGCAGAAGAGGAGGUGACAUGAUUGACUGUCUGGAGACAGUGGGUGACCACAAGGAAACAGUGAUUUCUGGACAAGAGCGGGUCAGUUGCACAGAUGACAGCGUGCACACAGACUCUACACUCAAGCUCAAGGCAGACAAAAUCCCAGUGUGGACAGAGGAGAACCAGAAUGCAAUGGAUGACAGCUGUAAUCCAGCCUCCAUUCAUGGGGUUCCAUUCAUGCUUCCAGGAUUGUAAAAGGACAUGAUCUCUGAAGAAAAUCAGCAGCAGCAUUCUCAGGGGCCUGUGACUGGAAAACAUGCAAGCAGUGCUGGGCCUGCCAGGAGCAGAUGUGUUCUCUAGCUCUGGACUUGGAAGAAAGCAUGGCUGCAGCAUGCCAGGCAGGAGGCUGCUGCUUCCCAACGUCGGCAGCAAGCCUCUCUCGUCCCUUCAUCUAACUGGAAGCAUGGCUGCUUCCUCUUGCCAAAGGCAGGCUGUCUUGAAUUGCAGGGGUGGAUUGCUGUGAUUACAAGGGUUCCUUCACAGAGGACUGUGCAGAUCACAACGUGUCAUUUGGAGAGCACAUUAAAAUGUCCUGGAAGCUUAUGAAGGCAUAUUCUACACAGAUAGUGAUUUAGUGGGCACUCGUCUCUUUCAUUUUAAACCUUGGUCAGUGGUCCUCCUUGUAUACCAAGGAAGCUGACGAGCAACGUCUUCAGCCCUUCUCAGCACAGUUCAUCAGCUUAUGGUCUGGCUCUUCGGUGCGCAGCAUGCACAGGAGUCACACAGGAAAGCUUUGCUAUGGAUUAAUGCAGAACCACUUUGUGGUUUCUGUGCUGAUGUCAAACACUGUAAAUAACAGGCACUUCUUCCCGCCUCACGAGUUAAGUUUGGGGGCUGAGGAAAGUCUCAGUUUCAAUGUGUUUGUUGUAUAAUCUAGAGGAACCUAACUCACACCACAGCAUUCACAUACAAAGGUGGAAUGCUGUAUCACGCUGCUGUAACUCUGAUGCCAAAGAAGCAGAGUGGAUCCCUAGG
rnacentral:lncRNA from 1 species